GCUUGUCUCAAAGAUUAAGCCAUGCAUGUCUAAGUAUAAACGACUUUAUACUGUGAAACUGCGAAUGGCUCAUUAUAUCAGUUAUAGUUUAUUUGAUGGUCCUUGCUACUUGGAUAACCGUAGUAAUUCUAGAGCUAAUACAUGCAUUAAACCCCGACUUCUGGAAGGGGUGUAUUUAUUAGAUGGAAACCAAAGCGGGGAAACCCGGAUUUAUGGUGAUUCAUAAUAACCCUCCGAUCGGCUAUGCCGACGCAUCAUUCAAGUUUCUGCCCUAUCAGCUUUGGACGGUAGGGUAUUGGCCUACCGUGGCUUUAACGGGUAACGGAGAAUUAGGGUUCGAUUCCGGAGAGGGAGCCUGAGAAAUGGCUACCACAUCCAAGGAAGGCAGCAGG
rnacentral:rRNA from 1 species